rnacentral:rRNA from 1 species
UACGUAGGGGGCUAGCGUUGUCCGGAUUUAUUGGGCGUAAAGGGCGCGUAGGCGGCCAUGCGUGUCUUCCGUGAAAUCCCUCGGCUUAACCGAGGACGUGCGGAAGAAACUGCAAGGCUCGAGUCCGGAAGAGGGGGGCGGAAUUCCCAGUGUAGCGGUGAAAUGCGUAGAUAUUGGGAGGAACACCAGUGGCGAAGGCGGUCCCCUGGGCCGGAACUGACGCUGAGGCGCGAAAGCGUGGGUAGCAAACGGG